UCAUAAUGUAAAUAACCCUAAAAAUCAUCUAAACAACAUAUACACCAUAAAAAGAAAAAGCCAAACAUUCUUCUCUAACAAAUAUAACCCACCAGAUCUACUGUAUGGUGUAUGCGGCUAUAAAAAAAAGGCAAAAUAUCAUCACUAACAAAAUAUAACCCACCAUAUAACAUAAUGAAAAACAAAACGAAGCACGUGUCUACUGUCAUGAGAAUAUGUAAGGGUUUUGGCUUGUUUAUUUUAUUUUAGUUUGAAAUAUUGUUG
rnacentral:lncRNA from 1 species